rnacentral:pre_miRNA from 1 species
GAAAUACUCCGUCCGUUCGGAAUUACUUGUCGCAGAAAUGGAUGUAUCUAGACAUGUUUUAAUUCUAGAUACAUCCAUUUCCGAGACAAGUAAUUCCGAACGGAGGGAGUAUGUG